rnacentral:rRNA from 1 species
UACGUAGGGGGCAAGCGUUGUCCGGAUUUUACUGGGCGUAAAGAGCGUGUAGGCGGCCAGGCAGGUCUGUUGUGAAAACUGGAGGCUCAACUUCCAGACGUCGACAGAAACCGCUUGGCUAGAGUCCGGAAGAGGAGAGUGGAAUUCCUGGUGUAGCGGUGAAAUGCGCAGAUAUCAGGAAGAACACCGAUGGCGAAGGCAGCUCUCUGGGACGGUACUGACGCUGAGACGCGAAAGCGUGGGGAGCGAACAGG